rnacentral:rRNA from 1 species
UCCGUAGGUGAACCUGCGGAGGGAUCAUUACCGAGUUCUACGCUCAAAACCCCCUGUGAACAUACCAAUUACAGUUGCUUCGGCGGGCUGCCCGACCCCCGCGCGCGUAUAAAACGUGUCGCGGGAGGCCGGGCCGCCUUCAGACAGGCCCGCCGGAGGUCUUAAACUCAACGUCUACGCUUUUGCCAUAGCAGUCUGAGUGUUAUAAAAAUAAGUUAAAACUUUCAACAAUGGAUCUCUUGGUUCUGGCAUCGAUGAAGAACGCAGCGAAAUGCGAUAAGUAAUGUGAAUUGCAGAAUUCAGUGAAUCAUCGAAUCUUUGAACGCACAUUGCGCCCGCCGGUAUUCCGGCGGGCAUGCCUGUCCGAGCGUCAUCUCACCACUCAAGCCCGGCUUGGUGUUGGCCGACGCGGGUACAGCGGGCCAGCUGCAGCCUUCUAGGCGAGGCGAACCCUCCUCCCGCGCGGCUCAAAUACAGCGGCGAGACGGUGUCGAGUUUCCCUUACGCGGUAGUUACAAUCUCGUAUCGGACGACCUUCCCGGCUCUGCCCCAACCCAAGGAGGCCCUCGUGGGCCCCUCUAGGGGGUUUGGACCUCCGGGGGGA